rnacentral:miRNA from 1 species
UGUUUGCAUAGUGUGUGUAUAUAAUGCAGUGUGUUUGUAUAGUGUGUGUGUGUAUAUAAUAUACAAACACACUGCAUUAUAUACACACACUAUACAAAC